CAAUAAUUAGUUUAAUAUAAAAUGUAGUAUUUGGGGUAUUGAGAUUGAUUUUUAUUGA
rnacentral:tRNA from 1 species